rnacentral:rRNA from 1 species
UGGGGAAUAUUGCACAAUGGGCGCAAGCCUGAUGCAGCCAUGCCGCGUGUAUGAAGAAGGCCUUCGGGUUGUAAAGUACUUUCAGCGGGGAGGAAGGUGUUGUGGUUAAUAACCACAGCAAUUGACGUUACCCGCAGAAGAAGCACCGGCUAACUCCGUGCCAGCAGCCGCGGUAAUACGGAGGGUGCAAGCGUUAAUCGGAAUUACUGGGCGUAAAGCGCACGCAGGCGGUCUGUCAAGUCGGAUGUGAAAUCCCCGGGCUCAACCUGGGAACUGCAUCCGAAACUGGCAGGCUUGAGUCUUGUAGAGGGGGGUAGAAUUCCAGGUGUGGCGGUGGAAUGCGUAGAGAUCUGGAGGAAUACCGGUGGCGAAGGCGGCCCCCUGGACAAAGACUGACGCUCAGGUGCGAAAGCGUGGGGAGCAAACA